rnacentral:tRNA from 1 species
GGCUCUGUGGCGCAAUGGAUAGCGCAUUGGACUUCUAGAGACAAGAAAUGAGUGAUUCAAAGGUUGUGGGUUCGAAUCCCACCAGAGUCG